rnacentral:rRNA from 1 species
UGCAAGUCGAGGGGCAGCAUGGUCUUAGCUUGCUAAGGCUGAUGGCGACCGGCGCACGGGUGAGUAACACGUAUCCAACCUGCCGUCUACUCUUGGCUAGCCUUCUGAAAGGAAGAUUAAUCCAGGAUGGGAUCAUGAGUUCACAUGUCCGCAUGAUUAAAGGUAUUUUCCGGUAGACGAUGGGGAUGCGUUCCAUUAGAUAGUAGGCGGGGUAACGGCCCACCUAGUCAACGAUGGAUAGGGGUUCUGAGAGGAAGGUCCCCCACAUUGGAACUGAGACACGGUCCAAACUCCUACGGGAGGCAGCAGUGAGGAAUAUUGGUCAAUGGGCGAUGGCCUGAACCAGCCAAGUAGCGUGAAGGAUGACUGCCCUAUGGGUUGUAAACUUCUUUUAUAAAGGAAUAAAGUCGGGUAUGCAUACCCGUUUGCAUGUACUUUAUGAAUAAGGAUCGGCUAACUCCGUGCCAGCAGCCGCGGUAAUACGGAGGAUCCGAGCGUUAUCCGGAUUUAUUGGGUUUAAAGGGAGCGUAGAUGGAUGUUUAAGUCAGUUGUGAAAGUUUGCGGCUCAACCGUAAAAUUGCAGUUGAUACUGGAUGUCUUGAGUGCAGUUGAGGCAGGCGGAAUUCGUGGUGUAGCGGUGAAAUGCUUAGAUAUCACGAAGAACUCCGAUUGCGAAGGCAGCCUGCUAAGCUGCAACUGACAUUGAGGCUCGAAAGUGUGGGUAUCAAA